UCCUACACACCAUGCACUUUGAUGCACAC
rnacentral:piRNA from 1 species